rnacentral:rRNA from 1 species
CCUACGGGAGGCAGCAGUGGGGAAUUUUGGACAAUGGGCGCAAGCCUGAUCCAGCAAUGCCGCGUGAGUGAAGAAGGCCUUCGGGUUGUAAAGCUCUUUUGUCAGGGAAGAAACGGUGGGAGCUAAUAUCUCCUGCUAAUGACGGUACCUGAAGAAUAAGCACCGGCUAACUACGUGCCAGCAGCCGCGGUAAUACGUAGGGUGCAAGCGUUAAUCGGAAUUACUGGGCGUAAAGCGUGCGCAGGCGGUUUUGUAAGACUGUCGUGAAAUCCCCGGGCUCAACCUGGGAAUGGCGAUGGUGACUGCAAGGCUAGAGUUUGGCAGAGGGGGGUAGAAUUCCACGUGUAGCAGUGAAAUGCGUAGAUAUGUGGAGGAACACCGAUGGCGAAGGCAGCCCCCUGGGUCAAAACUGACGCUCAUGCACGAAAGCGUGGGGAGCAAACAGGAUUAGAUACCCUGGUAGUCCACGCCCUAAACGAUGUCUACUAGUUGUCGGGUCUUAAUUGACUUGGUAACGCAGCUAACGCGUGAAGUAGACCGCCUGGGGAGUACGGUCGCAAGAUUAAAACUCAAAUGAAUUGACGG